GUGAAUCAUCGAAUCUUUGAACGCACAUUGCGCCCCUUGGUAUUCCGAGGGGCAUGCCUGUUCGAGCGUCAUUAUAACCUUCAAGCCUAGCUUGGUCUUGGAGUCGCUAGCUAGCGGCCCCUAAAUUCAGUGGCGGUGCCUAUAGGCUCUACGCGUAGUAAUCUCUCUCGCGACGGACCCCUAUACGUGCUUGCCAACAACCCCAAUCUUUUCAGGUUGACCUCGGAUCAGGUAGGGAUACCCGCUGAACUUAAGCAUAUCAAUAAGCGGAGGA
rnacentral:misc_RNA from 1 species